AUUGAACGCUGGCGGAAGGAAUAACACAUGCAAGUCGAACGAGUGGCGGACGGGUGAGAAAUGUAUGGGAAACUGCCCGAUGGAGGGGGAUAACUACUGGAAACGGUAGCUAAUACAGCAUACCAUCGGAUGUGCCCAAAUGGGAUUAGCUAGUAGGUGGGGUAAUGGAUCUCCUAGGCGACGAUCCCUAGCUGGUCUGAGAGGAUGACCAGCCACACUGGAACUGAGACACGGGCCAGACUCCUACGGGAGGCAGCAGUGGGGAAUAUUGCACAAUGGGCGCAAGCCUGAUGCAGCCAUGCCGCGUGUAUGAAGAAGGCCUUCGGGUUGUAAAGUACUUUCAGCGAGGAGGCGUUACUCGCAGAAGAAGCACCGGCUAACUCCGUGCCAGCAGCCGCGGUAAUUC
rnacentral:rRNA from 1 species